rnacentral:lncRNA from 1 species
AGUGCUGGGAUUAUAGGCGUGAGCCAUUGCACCUGGCCCAGUUCCCUGGGAUACAUGUGUUUUAAUUCAUUUUCUGUUGCUAGUAACAGAAUACCUGAAACUGGGUAAUUUAUAAGGAAAAGAAAUUUAUUUCUUACAGUGAUGGAGGUUGAGAAGUCCAACUUCAAGGCACCACAUCUGGUGAGAGCCUUCAUUCCGAUGACAGCCUUCAUGCUGCAACCUGCAGCAGGAAAAUGGGCUUCAGUUUUCAAGUCUGCAGCUGAGUUGGGAAGUUGCGGACAGUAACCAG